ensembl:processed_transcript Gm14204 predicted gene 14204
CGGAGCUGUGCGGGCCCCGGAUCCUCUGGCUAACCUUCCGGAUGACCAACAGGACAGGCUGACGGAGACAUUGCAAUAUAAGAUUAAGUAACUUUGCCAAUGCCUCACAGCAAGAUGGUGGAGGAUCCAAGAUGCAAACCUAGGACCCGAACAACCUCCAUAUUCAGGCCAGUCUGCCAGGAAGAGCAUUGGUUUCAGAAUUUCAGGAGGGGGCUACAAGCUGGUAUGACCCCCUCUGGCCAAACAUGUCAGCUCUUGAGUAUUCUACCUGCAUGGGCUGUGUGAUGCUCAAAGGGGCUUGAUCUGGCCUCUGUGCCUGUCUUAUGCCCUGGGCUUUCCAAGAUCAUGUAGCUCUUCCCACAGGAUAACUUAGGCUCCUGUGCCGGAGAGAAUCCUGGGAUAUUUACUGAUUCCUAGAAUGGCAUGUGUGAGCUCAGACUGAGAAUAACCUAAUUUCCUAUUGUAUUCUUUUAUAUCUAGAAUAUCUAACAGCAGGUUCUAAGUCUCUUAGAUGUCUUUAAUUGCCAUGGGUCCUAAGAUAAAAGAAAUGGAGGGGGAAUAAACACGAAGCACAGGGAGUCAUGGUCACCGGGUGAGCGCAAUUUAAUUUGUGCCGCGCUCCCAUCCAUCACAAUGCAUUAAUUGUGUUAUUUUGAAUUUGCUGGUUUCAUAGCUCUGCAUUGAAGUGUUAUAUUUUAUUUGCUUUUCC